AGCGAACGCUGGCGGCAGGCUUAACACAUGCAAGUCGAACGGGCACUUCGGUGUCAGUGGCAGACGGGUGAGUAACACGUGGGAACGUACCUUUUGGUUCGGAACAACUGAGGGAAACUUCAGCUAAUACCGGAUAAGCCCUUACGGGGAAAGAUUUAUCGCCGAAAGAUCGGCCCGCGUCUGAUUAGCUAGUUGGUAGGGUAAUGGCCUACCAAGGCGACGAUCAGUAGCUGGUCUGAGAGGAUGAUCAGCCACAUUGGGACUGAGACACGGCCCAAACUCCUACGGGAGGCAGCAGUGGGGAAUAUUGGACAAUGGGGGCAACCCUGAUCCAGCCAUGCCGCGUGAGUGAUGAAGGCCCUAGGGUUGUAAAGCCCUUUUGUGCGGGAAGAUAAUGACGGUACCGCAAGAAUAAGCCCCGGCUAACUUCGUGCCAGCCGCCGCCGUAAAAC
rnacentral:rRNA from 1 species